rnacentral:tmRNA from 1 species
CCCCUUUGCAAGCCGCGCCACCCCGCCUAUAUUCCGAGUGUCUCGCAAGGGACUAUGGGCAUAAACGCGCACAUAAUAAGCGGAUCGGACCCGGGGGCGGUACCCGGCGGCUCCACCAAAUACCCGGCGUUGGCGGGAACAUGGGGCCGAAAUAGGAUCGACGAACGUGUAAAGGUGUAGCUUUGUCCCGGUGAGAUACCACCGUUAUCGGUUCAUUAAGCAUAGUUGCCAACGACAAUCAUGCUCCGGUUGCAGUUGCUGCGUAAGCAGUGACAAGACCGAAAUCUAAGCCCUUGCGCCUAGCAGCGUAAGGCGGGGUUCGCAGGCACCUGGCAACAGAAGCCUGCACU